GCCGUCUUAGCUCAAUCGGUAGAGCGUCGCCAUGGUAAGGCGAAGGUACCGAGUUCAAACCUCGGAGACGGCU
rnacentral:tRNA from 1 species